UACGGAGGGAGCUAGCGUUGUUCGGAAUUACUGGGCGUAAAGCGCGCGUAGGCGGCUUUGUAAGUUAGAGGUGAAAGCCCGGGGCUCAACCCCGGAAUUGCCUUUAAGACUGCAUCGCUUGAAUCCGGGAGAGGUGAGUGGAAUUCCGAGUGUAGAGGUGAAAUUCGUAGAUAUUCGGAAGAACACCAGUGGCGAAGGCGACUUACUGGACACAUACUGACGCUGAGGUGCGAAAGCGUGGGGAGCAAACAGG
rnacentral:rRNA from 1 species